GUUAACCCAGUCAGCAUAUUAAACCACCUGACCGCCAGAGAACUACAAGUAAAAAACUUAAAACUCAAAGGACUUGACGGUAUCCCACAUCAACCUAGAGGAGCCUGUCCUAUAAUCGAUAACCCGCGCUAUACCUCACCUGUUCUAGCACAUAACAGCCUAUAUACCGCCGCCUCCAGCCCACCUUGCAAAAGAACCCGCAGUGAGCCAAGCAGUCACCACUAGUACGCCAGGUCAAGGUGUAGCCAACGAACAGGCAGAGAUGGGCUACAUUUUCUAAUAACAGAAAACACCAACAGCAACAUGAAACCUUACGCCCAAAGGCGGAUUUAGCAGUAAGGCGCGCAAGACCUGCUCGCCUGAAGAUGG
rnacentral:rRNA from 1 species